rnacentral:rRNA from 1 species
CCUACGGGUGGCAGCAGUGGGGAAUAUUGGACAAUGGGGGAAACCCUGAUCCAGCAACGCCGCGUGAAGGAAGAAGGUUUUCGGAUUGUAAACUUCUUUUCUCGGGGACGAAGCAGGUGACGGUCCCGGAGGAAUACGCCACGGCUAACUACGUGCCAGCCGCCGCGGUAAUACGUAGGUGGCAAGCGUUCUCCGGAUUUACUGGGUGUAAAGGGCGUGUAGGCGGGAUGGCAAGUCAGAUGUGAAAACGAUGGGCUCAACCCAUAGACUGCAUUUGAAACUGUUGUUCUUGAGUGAUGGAGAGGCAGGCGGAAUUCCUGGUGUAGCGGUGAAAUGCGUAGAUAUUAGGAGGAACACCAGUGGCGAAGGCGGCCUGCUGGACAUUAACUGACGCUGAGGCGCGAAAGCGUGGGGAGCAAACAGGAUUAGAUACCCGUGUAGUC